AGCAGCCGCGGUAAUUCCAGCUCCAAUAGCGUAUAUUAAAGUUGCUGCAGUUAAAAAGCUCGUAGUUGAAUUUCGGGAUCAAUAUGUUGGUCGUGCCUUGGUACGUACUAGCUUAUUGGUUUCUCCCUUCUGACGAACCAUGAUGUCAUUAAUUUGGUGUCAUGUGGAAUCAGGACUGUUACUUUGAAAAAAUUAGAGUGUUUAAAGCAGGCUCACGCUUGAAUACAUUAGCAUGGAAUAAUGAAAUAGGACGUUUGAUUCUAUUUUGUUGGUUUCUAGGAUCGACGUAAUGAUUAAUAGGGAUAGUUGGGGGCAUUAGUAUUCAAUUGUCAGAGGUGAAAUUCUUGGAUUUAUUGAAGACUAACUACUGCGAAAGCAUUUGCCAAGGAUGUUUUCAUUAAUCAAGAACGAAAGUUAGGGGAUCGAAGACGAUCAGAUACCGUCGUAGUCUUAACCAUAAACUAUGCCGACUAGGGAUCGGGAUGAUGUUUAAUUUUUAANGUACUCAGUUCC
rnacentral:rRNA from 1 species